rnacentral:lncRNA from 1 species
AGAGGCCGAACUAACAGCCUGAGUGGAUAACGUCAUUUACUGUUACAGGUCUGAGCAUUGGCCUCAGAACUCCUCUGGUGCUGGGAGUGAGGAGUUUCAAGGUGACUGCUUUUUAGCUCCAGGGGAGAAAGGAGGGCACAGUGCCCAAGGCCAUGCCAGGGCAAGGACGGGCCACUGGCCCCCGCCGGCCGAGUCAACCAGAGGCAAAGCCAGAUUGAGGGUUCCCAGGCUGACAAAUGUCUGCUGCCUCUGCCACAGGAGAGAGAAGGGGAAAGAGGGCAAAAGAAACAAAGACAUCACGCGUUGCAAGUGGCUGGACUUUUAAAAACCUACCUUUGCCUCCAGGGUUUUCUAGGUUACUGUCACCCCACUUCCUAAAAAGUGUCUCCCCCCUCAUCCUAUUUAAGACCUGAUGCAGUCUCCCCACUGGUUCUCCCAGGGAAAGAAAAGGGGAAAUGUUUUGUUGAAAAUAAAAGGGAUGACAAGAAAGAAAGGAAAAAAAGCUAUUGUUUUCAUCCCUAAUUUAUAAUCCAAGAGGCCCCCAAUUGUUUCUUUCUGACUCAAAUCUUUGAGCUGUUAAUUAUAAAAGUAACUGGACUUGGCGCCAACGGGCUAACUAUGAUCAGGCUCAGCAAUUAGAAAAACUCUGUAGAAAGUUUACUGAGUGAUUAUAUAUAAUUAAUUCCUAGUUACAGACUGAACACUGACCAUUUUCUGGAGCUAAUAAAAGCAGUUACUCCCCCUCCCCCACGUGAAUGCCACUUAAUUUCCCAAAGCAGAAAGUGAAUCCAUCCUGGAGGGUCUUGAAGGAAAAAAAAGGAGAGGAAUCAAAAGCUUCAGUGUGUCUGUGUUUGCUCCUUGCAGCUGUGUAUCCUCUUUGGGGACUGAGGAGGCAGAAGGAAAAAGGAAAACAGCCCAACAUUCUGUUCCUCCUUCUGCAAUUUACAAACGUGGCAGAGAGAACAUUCUACCUUGAUGAGAAAAAGAAGGGGGGUUGGGGGGAAGCAGGGAAGGGAGAUGACCUAGGAAUGGAAGGUAGGAGACGCUUCUGCUUGGCAGAUCUGCUUUUCCUAAAAGGAACAAAGAUGGUAGAAAUUUCCAGAAGGCCCGUUCUUAGUUCGGCCACUGCAAUUGUCAAUCUUUAACCUUUCCUCCAAGUCUAUUGGUUUAAAAGCUAGAGUAGAAGAACCCCAUUGGGCUGCUCUGGGAGCCAGUACUGCCGUCCCUACCUAGUCCUGCUGCAAUGCAGACAUUUAUUUUUUUCCCCCUUUCCUGAAACUGGAAAAUAAUGCUACUUUGAAAGCAAUUAACUUUUUACAGACUCAUGCUUGGUAGGGGUCACAGUACCAGAGGAAAAGUGGCUAGCUUGGUCCAGGGUUGGGAACUUGCUGGGGGCUGUACAUUUGAAAACAGAUCUUGGCUCUCCAAACCUGUGGGAGCCAUUUUAAUGCAAGCUUUUAGAGGACAAAUGCCUUGCCCUUAAGUUCCCUUCCAGCCCAACAAACACAGUAUUAUGCAAACGUUGAAGGCACCAAACCAGGAGUCUUAUGAUUAGAUAUUGCUUCUAGGGAGGCCACAAGAACCUCGAUAUGUAAUUUCCAUUUACAGCAAGGAGAUAAGAACAAAGAAAAUAGCUGAGUGUCUGAACUUACUUGUUUGGGGCAGUGGCACUGUUCAGUUUUAAGUAUAUAACAUCAUUAACUGCCUGCAGUUUUACUCUAAGAAGCUAAGCUGGCCUGCCUUGCACAGACUUUUCUCAACUUAGAAUGUGGUACGUUUCUGCUGAUUAAAUGAGCCUUUUUCCAAUUCGGUGUCAGAAAGUGGGCUACUGGACACUCAUUUGAAAGAAAAAAGAUUACUGACUCCAUAAAGUUGACAUAACACAGCAAUUGAAUAUAUUUCCUGCAUUUACGGUCAUGUCGGAUUGGUCUCCAAGCUGAAAAUUUAUGUACUGAACUUCUAGGGAAAUUCUGAAGGUACUGCUAAACAAGACUCUACUUUUCCCACUUAACUUCUAGCUGCAGCCUUAAGUGGUCAAGGGAAAUGUAAAAAGUGAGAAAUCUUAUGUGGGGCCAGCAUGCAUACAGAUGUGUGGAGGAGACCUGAAAAAAGGCCAAAAUGUGUUGGUCAGUGAGUCCUGAAUCAAACCCAGUCUGGUGGUAGAUGAGAUUUUGCACUAUACAUAAGUCCUAAAACAUGAGCACACUGACACCACCCCCCCAACACACACAUACCACCACCACCACCAGCUUCUACACCACCAAUGUUUUUAGGGCUCUGCACCUCUAAGAACAAGCAGUUUCAUGACAUUUCACAAGCACAUCACCUACUCACAGUUUGAAUAUCCAAACAAACCCCAUUAAAGGUCUAGAGUCAAGUCACAAUGAACUGAACAUUUCUCCCCUGACUCAGGGUAAACAGGAAGUAUAAUCUUCAAUCCUAGCUGCAGGUUAUCAGGAAAAACAGUGGAUUCAAACAGUCACCUAAAAUCAAGACACUCUUUAAAAAGCCCUUAUUUUGUUCCUGCUAAUGAAGCCCCCAACUCCUGUAGCCAAGACCCACUAUUACAAACAGACCCCAAAUGUUCGCAAAACUCUUCAAACAUGGUCACAGAGGAAAUGGAUUGCUUUACUUACCCAACAAAUGUUCAAGCAACCGUCUCAUUUUUCCACAGUUAGGAAGAGAGAACAGGCUGGCAGAUUUGGGACUUGAUCAAAAAGGAAAUUUUUUUAAACAGUUACAUGGUAUUAUUAAAAACACACACAACAACAACAACACAACCCAACAACUGAAUAUGGAAUGCUGUCAUGAGCCACAGACAUGAUUUUAUUUCCUCUACACUCCAUGACACAGGAGAAGAGAGGAGGAUACAAUGUAUAAAAGGGACAGGAAAAUGAAAACAAGGAUAAAAGGUAACAUUAGUUCCUUGAAAAUCAUGCAAGAGUAGAAAGCUAAGGGAUUCAGAAUCCUUGCAGAUUUUUUUUUUUUUUUUUUUUUGCAGGAUGUUGUCCAAGAUCUCUCCCCCCACCCCCCAGUCCCCAUCCCUACUCCAAAAAACUUCCUCCAAAGCCUAGAAAACACUUUCAGAAACAUUUGCUGGCUGUAGGCUGGCUUGCAGAACACUCUGUAGCAACCUAAGUCAGGAAAACAGGCUGAACAAUGUAGUUUCAAGUGCAGAAGCUCUGUAGAAUAAGAGAAGACCGUGUACAGACACCACCACCCACCUAGGCCCCAGGAGCUAGACUCUCCUUAGCACUGCUCUGCUGAGGGCACAAUUCUUUUGCAAACACGCUCCUCUCUUGUCAAAACUUAUCCAGCCUUCCCAGAACCUCUUUGGAGAGGCAAACUUGCCUGCUCUGCUGUCUGCCAUGAGCUCUCCUUGGAGAGGAGCCUGUUUGCUUACCUUCCAUUUUCUUCCCCCAGCAGGGCAUGUGGCAAAAGAGAAGACAAUAGUGCAGGGGUGGGAGGGGGGGAACUGCUCAGAGAGAGAGAGAGGGGAAGAGAGAGGGAAGAGGGAAAGAAAAAAAAAAAAAGAAGGAAAAAAAAAAGCUUCUUUUUUGGCAUACCAGGAUCUAGCUUCAAACUCUUCCAGAAACACCAUGCCCUGGUGGAAGGAAAGGUGUGCCAGGCCCUUGCCAGUUUGCAAAAUCAAGCUAUGGCUAAUGGCUACUGAGCCAUGUGACCCAAGAAAGCAAAAAAAUUCUCUCUAAACAGUUCCAAGUUAACAUAAGUGCUCUGGGGGUGAGUGUGGCACGGCCAGCCACAGAGAAAUCACACUGCUCGCCCACAAUUCGGAUGUCUCAGAGGGAGGGGGAAAAAAGAUGGUUAAAAAGUCGAGCUUACCUCUGUGGAUGCAUUGUUAACACUGUGUAAUGUCAAUACUUAUAAAACAUGGAGGACAGGCUCCUAGUUCUCACAGAAAAAGGGUUUGGCACUUCGGCUGAUGAUCUGGCCGCCUAAUAAAAGCUCAUCCCCGAUUGGCUGCCCCGGCAAAUCGGAGUGUAAAGCCGCCCCGGAUUGGCUGAAACACUUCCUGAGCGAUUAUCUUUGUGAGGCUCGGGUGAGCAAGAGCCAUCCUGUGCAUAGAAAAAGACAGGCUAAGCUAGGCCUUUUGCAGCAAGAAAAACUUGGGAAAGGGGCCCCCACACGCACUUCUCCUGCACCCUGGCUAGAUUUCCCGGCACGGGCCAGCCAGGGCAGCCAGCCUGACCUGCUCCAGGAAAGCCUGAGGCCCGGAGGUCCCUGGGAAGGGAGUUUCUUGGAGUGGGCUGGAACGGCUCACCCUCACCUGCCCCCAGAGAAACGGCCCUUGUCCAGGGAGGAAGGCCAGCCUUUUUCUAGAACAGUCCAGCAGGGUGGCUCUCCAAGGGGAAGGGGAAGCUGGGGAGUGGGGAGUCCCGGGGAAACAGCCAAGGGGCCAGAAAAAGGGGCUUGAGGCAGGCCUCUGAGAAGCUGGGGGAAGCAGGCAGCCCGGGGGAGCCCCGAAAAAUCAGCAGAGAGCAGCCCUGGCUUCUCAGAGGAGCGAGGAGUAGCUGCUGAGGGGAGGAGGGGAGCAGAGUGGUCAAGUUUGCAUAGUCAUUGUCCCCAUGCCUCCUUGCAAGGCAGGCCAGGGAGCCGUGGGCCUCUCGCGCCCUGCUUAGCCAGUCCUGCAGGCAAAAUCAACGUGGGUUCCUGUCGCCCUGCCACGAUGCCAAGGGGGACCCCUCUCGGUCCUUACCCUAAGAAAAACCCAAAGCCCUCCUCGCAGGCCACAUGCCUGGAUCUACAAACUUCCCUUCCCUCCCGGCCCCUCCCCCGCGGCCGAGACCUGCUAAACCUGUCAGUUAAACACAAAUCUGACUUCCGUAUUAGCCUGCGAUGCCUUCGGCUUCCUGCCUGUUAACCCUCUCUCGGACUCGGGGCCUGGCUGGGAAAAACUAGGCCUUGAGAUCGCAGCGAAGGCCUGUGGAAAAAUACCAGCUGCAGCUCUCCCGGCAGAUGCAGAAAGAGAGAGAGAGAGCCGCUGUCUCUCAGCCUUUGCUUCCCAGGGAGGCGUGUACCUUGUGAAUCCAGGGCACAGGCAGUGCCUCUCGGGCUGAGAAGCCAUUUCAAUCCAGAGGGAGACAGAAAGAUGGCACGCUCAGCCCGGAAACAAGAGCCCCCAUUAUGCGUCAGGCCUACCCCCGUAGGUCAGCCCUUCCUGCCACAAUCAUCCCUGUAUGUGUGUGCCUGGGGGAGUUGGGCCCUCCUCGGUGGGCAGACAAAUCCCCUGGGCUUCCUAAGGAUUCUUGCUUCCAUUUAUUUGCACAGAGAACGGCUUCUUUUCGUCCCCCAAGGCAGAUGGAGCAGCGAUUUCACACACAGCCCUCCAUUUGGCAGCCCCCCCACCCCCCCAUCUCUGGCACCGCUCCCCAGUAAAAUAUUAACUGGUUGUUCAGAGCUGCUUACAAUUCUACCCACUUCAAUUGCGUUAGGAGGUCUUUGCUGGUCUCCUCCCUAAAGCUGCCUUCGCAGUUGGUCUGUACCCAGAGAUAGAAAAGGACCGUAAAAUGUCCCCAGCUUUCUCGCUCUCUUUCCUUCUUCGGCAUUUUAAAUGACAAGGUGCUUAAUUAACAGGAUUUUUUAAAACAGCAACCUGGAACCACAGAAGCUAAAUAAACACCAUUCUUUAGAGGCUGGAGAAAGCGUCCAGAGUUAACGCAGCCAUAUGCCAGGAGGCAUAACUCCGGAGCAAUAAAGUCUCCC